rnacentral:rRNA from 1 species
CACGUAGGGCGCAAGCGUUGUCCGGAAUUAUUGGCGUAAGAAGCUCGUAGGCGGUCUGUUGCGUCCGCUGUGAAAACCCGGGGCUUAACCCUGGGCUGGCAGUGGAUACGGACAGACUAGAGGUAGGUAGGGGAGAAUGGAAUUCCCGGUGUAGCGGUGAAAUGCGCAGAUAGUCGGGGGAACACCGGUGGCGAAGGCGGUUCUCUGGGCCUUACCUGACGCUGAGGCGCGAAAGCUAGGGGAGCGAACAGG